rnacentral:ncRNA from 1 species
AAAGUUUAAUUUUAGCUUAAAAUUUGGUUGUUUUAUUUAUUUAUAUGCGAUUUAUUAGGUUAAGAUAAUUUUAGAAAGAUUUUUAAUUGAAGCAGUAUAUAGAAUUAAGUAUUAAGGGGACUUAGACUUAGAGAUUAUUUUAUAGCACAGACUAAAUUUGUGCCAGCAGUUGCGGUUACACAGAUUGUGCGGGUCAAUUUUAUUUAAUUUAAUUAAAUGUAAAAUAUUUUAGGUGAAAUUUAAAUUUAUUAGGUGAAAUUUUAAAUUUGGUUUUUCUAUUAAAGUGUUAUUGAAGUUAGGAAAUUUCUAUUUAAACUAGGAUUAGAUACCCUAUUAUUGGAAAAGUUAAUUUGUUAUUAAAAUUACUAAUAGUUAUGGUCUUUAAAAUUAAAAAAUUUGGCGGUAUUUUAGUCUAUUCAGAGGAACCUGUUUCAUAAUUGAUAAUCCACGAUAAGUUUUACUUUAAAUUUAAAUUUGUAUAUCGCCGUAGUUUGAAUAUUCUAUAAGGAGAGGAAUAUUCAAGGUUCUAAAAUAAGAAGGAAUUCAGGUCAAGGUGCAGUUGAUUUUAAAGUAGGAAUGGGUUACAUUGUUAAUAUGUUUGGUCUUAGAACUUGAAAAGUCUAGGUAAAUUGGAUUUGAUAGUAAUUUGAUAUAUUUAUUUCAGAUGAUUUUGCUCUAAAAUAUGCACAUAUCGCCCGUCACUUUCACUUAAGGUGAAAUAAGUCGUAACAGAGUAGGCCUAUUGGAAAAUGGGCCUGGAAUG